AACGAACGCUGGCGGCAGGCCUAACACAUGCAAGUCGAGCGAGGACUUCGGUCCUAGCGGCGGACGGGUGAGUAACGCGUGGGAACGUGCCCUUUGCUUCGGAAUAGCCCUGGGAAACUGGGAGUAAUACCGGAUGAGCCCUUUGGGGGAAAGAUUUAUCGGCGAAGGAUCGGCCCGCGUUGGAUUAGGUAGUUGGUGGGGUAAUGGCCUACCAAGCCGACGAUCCAUAGCUGGUUUGAGAGGAUGAUCAGCCACACUGGGACUGAGACACGGCCCAGACUCCUACGGGAGGCAGCAGUGGGGAAUCUUAGACAAUGGGGGAAACCCUGAUCUAGCCAGGCCGCGUGAGCGAUGAAGGCCUUAGGGUUGUAAAGCUCUUUCAGCUGGGAAGAUAAUGACGGUACCAGCAGAAGAAGCCCCGGCUAACUCCGUG
rnacentral:rRNA from 1 species